ACCUCUACUUGGUCCUUUGACUAAGAUUGGGUGUAGUAUCUGUUCUUAUCAGUUUUACUAUCUGAUACGCACCCUCUCUGGGUCCCAUUUAUUAAAGGGGAAUUUUAGAAUUUAGAGAUAGAAGAAAAGCUUUCUCUUUCCACUACAUGUCUUGACCUAGAAUUGCAGUACUUCCAGGACCGGUACACAAAGC